AGAAAAGUAAGCUAAUCAAGCUAAUGGGUUCAUACCCCAUAAAUAGAGGUUAUCCUCUCUUCUCUA
rnacentral:tRNA from 1 species